rnacentral:rRNA from 1 species
CACGUAGGGUACGAGCGUUGUCCGGAAUUAUUGGGCGUAAAGAGCUCGUAGGCGGCGUGUCGCGUCGGCCGUGAAAACCUGCAGCUUAACUGUGGGCGUGCGGUCGAUACGGGCAUCACUGGAGUUCGGCAGGGGAGACUGGAAUUCCUGGUGUAGCGGUGAAAUGCGCAGAUAUCAGGAGGAACACCGGUGGCGAAGGCGGGUCUCUGGGCCGAUACUGACGCUGAGGAGCGAAAGCGUGGGGAGCGAACAGG